rnacentral:rRNA from 1 species
UGGGGAAUCUUGCACAAUGGGCGAAAGCCUGAUGCAGCGACGCCGCGUGCGGGAUGAAGGCCUUCGGGUUGUAAACCGCUUUCAGCAGGGACGAGGCCGCAAGGUGACGGUACCUGCAGAAGAAGCCCCGGCUAACUACGUGCCAGCAGCCGCGGUAAUACGUAGGGGGCAAGCGUUAUCCGGAUUCAUUGGGCGUAAAGCGCGCGUAGGCGGUCUGUUAGGUCAGGAGUUAAAUCUGGGGGCUCAACCCCUAUCCGCUCCUGAUACCGGCAGGCUUGAGUCUGGUAGGGGAAGAUGGAAUUCCAAGUGUAGCGGUGAAAUGCGCAGAUAUUUGGAAGAACACCGGUGGCGAAGGCGGUCUUCUGGGCCAUGACUGACGCUGAGGCGCGAAAGCUAGGGGAGCGAACA